rnacentral:pre_miRNA from 1 species
ACAUUCGGAUCGUCCGUCUACCGAGCAAUAUUAGCUGCUUGGUGGAAGAUCUUCGCUUAACCGU